rnacentral:rRNA from 1 species
GGGUCAGUAGGUUGGUCGUGCCACCGGUACGUACUGGUCUCACUGAUUCCUCCUACCAGAAGAACCGUAAUGCCAUUAAUUUGGUGUUGCGCGGAAACAGGACUGUUACUUUGAAAAAGUUAGAGUGUUUAAAGCAAGCUAACGCUUGAAUACAUUAGCAUGGAAUAAUGAAAUAGGACGAUCGAUCCUAUUUUGUUGGUUUCUAGGAUUGACGUA